rnacentral:rRNA from 1 species
CCUACGGGAGGCAGCAGUGGGGAAUAUUGGACAAUGGGGGGAACCCUGAUCCAGCCAUGCCGCGUGUGUGAAGAAGGCCCUCGGGUUGUAAAGCACUUUCAGUGAGGAAGAACGCCUGGUGGUUAAUACCCAUCAGGAAAGACAUCACUCACAGAAGAAGCACCGGCUAACUCCGUGCCAGCAGCCGCGGUAAUACGGAGGGUGCGAGCGUUAAUCGGAAUUACUGGGCGUAAAGCGCGCGUAGGUGGCUUGAUAAGCCGGUUGUGAAAGCCCCGGGCUCAACCUGGGAACGGCAUCCGGAACUGUCAAGCUAGAGUGCAGGAGAGGAAGGUAGAAUUCCCGGUGUAGCGGUGAAAUGCGUAGAGAUCGGGAGGAAUGCCAGUGGCGAAGGCGGCCUUCUGGACUGACACUGACACUGAGGUGCGAAAGCGUGGGUAGCAAACAGGAUUAGAUACCCCUGUAGUC